ACUUCAUAGUUGUGGAUAGGGAAAAUAAACAAUUCUUUUUAACGGCAUAAACGACUUUCCUUCCCAACAAAGAAGAAAACAGAGUCAUCUGUAUUUUUAUCUGACAAACAAAAUCCUAACCUUCACUGUUUCUUAAUGUUUCAAUCAUCAUUACUUACAACCUUCUCUCCAACCUCAUUUGGAUUAUGCUGUUCAAGCUGGGUUUUCAAUACUUUUGCAAUUUUCUGCUCUCAAAUUUGCUUAUGUGCAAGUUUCUUCACUGAACAAAUAAGGCUGGUAUAGAAUUAUCAAUCUGCAUAGGAAGAAGCAUAAAUAACAGAAUUCAGAUAUCAGAACCCACUAAGCUUUACCAGGAGAAUUUGAAAAUGAAUUAUAUGUACUCAGUGAAAGAAGAAUACUUAGAACCACCACCACCACCACCAUCAUCAUCAUUUCAAUCAGGAGGUGAAUUCCCACCAAUGAUUCCACCACCCCAGCCAAUGGUGGGGCUUCAUGACAUAGGACCCCCUCCAUUCCUCACCAAAACUUUUGAUGUGGUGGACGACCCAACAACCAAUCACGUGGUUUCAUGGAGCAGAGGUGGCACCAGCUUUGUGGUUUGGGAUCCACAUGCCUUCUCCUUAGAUCUUUUACCCAGAUACUUCAAGCACAACAAUUUCUCGAGCUUUGUUAGACAACUAAACACUUAUGGUUUUAGAAAAAUUGAUCCAGAUAGAUGGGAGUUUGCAAAUGAAGGGUUCCUCAAAGGGCACAGGCACCUAUUGAGGAACAUAAGGAGAAGGAAAGCACCUUCCCAGCCUAACCCUUCCCAACAAGUACAAAAUCACUGUGUUCAAGUUGGCCGUUUAGGACUUGAUGAAGAGAUUGAUCGUUUGAGGCACGACAAGCGGUUGUUAAUGUUGGAGCUUGUGAAUCUUAAACAGAAGCAACAGAAUACCAGAAUGUGCCUUGAAGAGAUGGAGCAAAGGUUACAAGGGACAGAAAUCAAGCAGCAACAAAUGAUGGCAUUCUUAGCUAGAGCUAUGAAAAACCCUGCCUUUGUUCAGCAACUACUCCAACAGAAAGAGAAGAGAGAGGAGCUUGAAGAAGCCAUGACCAAAAAGAGGAGAAGGCAAAUUGAGCUAGGAGGUAUUGGAGAAUCAAGCAGGGGUGGUGAAGGAAGGAGCACCGUUAAAGUUGAGCCCUUAGAAUUUUGGGAUUGUGAGUUUGGAGUGUCAGAGUUGGAAGUGCUAGCUAUGGAAAUGCAGGGUUUUGGAAGGGGGAGUAGAGAGGAGGAGGAAGGACUGGAGGUACUAGAACCACAAGAGAGGCUGGACAGAGAACUUGAUGAAGAGUUCUGGGAAGAAUUACUGUUUAGUGAGAAAUUUGAGGGUCAAUUUGACAUUGACAUUCCAACUACUGAAAAUGAAGAUGAAUAUGAAGAUAUCAAUGUAUUGGACAAUGGCUUUGGCUGCUUGCAUUCAAGUCAUUAAGUGAACCACUGAAACCACUGAAUCAAGAUUUAUUAACCCUUUUUCAUUCAGUUCACCAGGUUCCAGUCCGGUCAAAUCAAUAUUUACUCCAAAGGUGGCAUCGUAUGGUGGAGUCAUCCUAAUUGGCAAGACAGUAAAUUUACAAGCAGAAUGGAAUUGAUUUACUUUAAAGUGUUUCUAACUUUAUUAAAUGUCCUUGUUGUAGCACUUGGUAAAACCCUGAAUUCUCACUUUUCUUGAUGUUUGAUGAGGUAGGUUGCUGCUGGUUCUUGGACAAGAAUAUUUGGUAGUGAUAGCUGGUCAUUAUUUAUCUCAAGAUUAUUCAGAAGAUGUAGAGUGCAGAGAAGUAGCUCAUCUCCAACAAUCAUUACUGAAUGUUGCUUAUCAAAAGCCAGUUGGUGGUUAACGUUUGAUGCUUGAUGCCAUUCUCAAUCAUUCGUAAAGUAGAAGAUUCAGUUGAACAACAUGAAGUGGUUGGGGGUCAUUGUUUCGCGCUGAGCCACUGAUCAUUUACAGAUGUUGAGAUAUAUAAAAUAACCAUUAAUAUAGUUUCACUCCACAGCUUAAGCUUUUGGGUUGAAUUGGUUCUUUACAACAUAUUAUUCUAGUCUUUAUUUCAAAGGAGGAACUAGGAUAAGGAGUGGAGCAAAACGUGGCUAGCUAAUUCUAUUAUGUUUGGAAGUUUUGGAGAGCAUUGGAGGGACAAGGGUCUCAGAUCAGGGGUGUGCAAAAAAACUGGUUCACUUGCCCUGCCCUUGAUCUGACCUUGACCCGACCCAUAAAUACUCAUAUUUUUUGAACUGGUUUAAAUACUGAUCCAUUUUUAUUUGGGUCAGUUUUAGACCUGACUCGUUUUAAUAUUGACCCACUGACCCAAAACUUGACCCAUACCCAUUAUGUGAAAAAAAAAUCACAAUUACGUCAAAAUUUUUGACGAAAAAUAUUUUCAUCAAAAUUUGUGACUAAAAACAUAUCGGUAAAAAUAUUUGACGGAAUAUUUUUUUUGUCAAAUUUUUUUACGGAAUCUAAAUUUCGUCAAAAUAUUUCAUAAAAAA